rnacentral:rRNA from 1 species
GACGAACGCUGGCGGCGUGCUUAACACAUGCAAGUCGAACGGAAAGGCCCUGCUUUUGUGGGGUGCUCGAGUGGCGAACGGGUGAGUAACACGUGAGUAACCUGCCCUUGACUUUGGGAUAACUUCAGGAAACUGGGGCUAAUACCGGAUAGGAGCUCCUGCUGCAUGGUGGGGGUUGGAAAGUUUCGGCGGUUGGGGAUGGACUCGCGGCUUAUCAGCUUGUUGGUGGGGUAGUGGCUUACCAAGGCUUUGACGGGUAGCCGGCCUGAGAGGGUGACCGGCCACAUUGGGACGGAGAUACGGCCCAGACUCCACGGGAGGCAGCAGUGGGGAAUAUUGCACAAUGGGCGGAAGCCUGAUGCAGCAACGCCGCGUGCGGGAUGACGGCCUUCGGGUUGUAAACCGCUUUCGCCUGUGACGAAGCGUGAGUGACGGUAAUGGGUAAAGAAGCACCGGCUAACUACGUG